CAGGACUGUGAUGCUAUCAUCACCCUUGUGGAAACUCUCCAAAACCUGCCAACCUGCAGUGUGGCCGAGCAGCACAACAUCUGUUUCCACUACGCCUUUGCCCUUGACAGGCGGAACCGACCUGGGGACCGCGAGAAAGCGCUCUCUGUUCUCCUGCCCCUGGUGGAGAAGCCCGAAGGAGUGGCCCCUGACCUCUAUUGCAUGUGUGGCCGCAUCUACAAAGACAUGUUCAUUGACUCUGAGUUCACGGAUACCGAGAAGAGAGACAAGGCUUUCUUUUGGUACCACAAGGCCUUUCUGACAGAGCCAAGCCUUCAUGCUGGAAUUAAUUCUGUUGUGUUGCUCAUCGCUGCCGGCCAUUGUUUUGAAACCUCGAUGCAGCUUCGGCAGAUCGGUGUGAGAUUGUUCU